rnacentral:rRNA from 1 species
UACGUAGGGGCAAGCGUUGUCCGGAUUUAUUGGGCGUAAAGAGCUCGUAGGCGGUUCCGUAAGUCGAGUGUGAAAAAUCUGGGCUCAACCCAGUGGAGCACUCGAUACUGCGGUGACUAGAGUACGGUAGAGGAGUGUGGAAUUCUGGUGUAGCGGUGAAAUGCGCAGAUAUCAGGAGGAACACCAACGGCGAAGGCAGCACUCUGGGCCGGUACUGACGCUGAGGAGCGAAAGCGUGGGGAGCAAACAGG